rnacentral:rRNA from 1 species
GUGUCAGCCGCCGCGGUAAUACGGAGGGUGCAAACGUUGCUCGGAAUUAUUGGGCGUAAAGCGUCCGCAGGUGGCUCGCUCAAGUCUGCUGUCAAAGACCGGGGCUUAACUCCGGAAAGGCAGUGGAAACUGACAAGCUAGAGGGCUCUAGGGGUAGAGGGAAUUCCCGGUGUAGCGGUGAAAUGCGUAGAGAUCGGGAAGAACAUCGGUGGCGAAAGCGCUCUACUGGAGAGCAACUGACACUCAGGGACGAAAGCUAGGGGAGCGAAUGGGAUUAGAUACCCCAGUAGUCCUAGCCGUAAACGAUGGAUACUAGGCGUGGCUCGUAUCGACCCGGGCCGUGCCGGAGCUAACGCGUUAAGUCUCCCGCCUGGGGAGUACGCACGCAAGUGUGAAACUCAAAUGAAUUGACGGGG